rnacentral:rRNA from 1 species
UACGUAGGGUGCAAGCGUUAAUCGGAAUUACUGGGCGUAAAGCGUGCGCAGGCGGUUUUGUAAGUCUGUCGUGAAAUCCCCGGGCUCAACCUGGGAAUUGCGAUGGAGACUGCAAGGCUAGAAUCUGGCAGAGGGGGGGUAGAAUUCCACGUGUAGCAGUGAAAUGCGUAGAGAUGUGGAGGAACACCGAUGGGCGAAGGCAGCCCCCUGGGGUCGAAGAUUGACGCUCAUGCACGAAAGGCGUGGGGAGCAAACGAGG